GGAUGGCUGGCACAAUUGGCUAGCGCGUGAGACUCUUAAUCUCAAGGUUGCGGGUAAGAAUAACCAUAUAAAGAUCAAAGUAGCACCAUUAACAAUAUUCAAGGUUCGAGUCCCGCGUCGUCCU